rnacentral:misc_RNA from 1 species
GAUGAAGAACGCAGCAAAAUGCGAUAAGUAAUGCGAAUUGCAGAAUUUCCGUGAGUCAUCGAAUCUUUGAACGCACAUUGCGCCCCUUGGUAUUCCAUGGGGCAUGCCUGUUCGAGCGUCAUUUGUACCUUCAAGCUCUGCUUGGUGUUGGGUGUUUGUCUCGCCUCUGCGUGUAGACUCGCCUCAAAACAAUUGGCAGCCGGCGUAUUGAUUUCGGAGCGCAGUACAUCUCGCGCUUUGCACUCAUAACGACGACGUCCAAAAGUACAUUUUUACACUCUUGACCUCGGAUCAGGUAGGGAUACCCGCUGAACUUAAGCAUAUCAAUAGCGGAGGA